AAGGUAGGGGACAGCGAGAGCGCGAAGAAUGAGCGCUCCACGCAUUGAUAAGUGCCAACACAACUGAAGGAAUGCUGAAUGUUGAGUGUUAAGUAUUAGAUAGUGGCGGACGGGUGAGUAACGCGUGGGUAACCUACCCAUAAAGCCGGGACAACCCUUGGAAACGAGGGCUAAUACCGGAUAAUCUUAGAUGUUGGCAUCAACGUCUAAGGAAAGGUGGCCUCUGAAGAUGCUACCGAUUAUGGAUGGACCCGCGUCUGAUUAGCUAGUUGGUGGGGUAAAGGCCUACCAAGGCGACGAUCAGUAGCCGGCCUGAGAGGGUGAACGGCCACACUGGGACUGAGACACGGCCCAGACUCCUACGGGAGGCAGCAGUGGGGAAUCUUCCGCAAUGGACGAAAGUCUGACGGAGCAACGCCGCGUGUAUGAUGAAGGUCUUCGGAUUGUAAAGUACUGUCUUUGGGGAAGAACGGUCUCUUU
rnacentral:rRNA from 1 species